rnacentral:rRNA from 1 species
GUGGGGAAUAUUGGACAAUGGGCGAAAGCCUGAUCCAGCCAUGCCGCGUGUGUGAUGAAGGCCUUAGGGUCGUAAAGCUCUGUUGAAUGGGAAGAAAAAAAUGACGGUACCAUUCGAGGAAGGACCGGCUAACUUCGUGCCAGCAGCCGCGGUAAUACGAGGGGUCCUAGCGUUGUUCGGAAUCAUUGGGCGUAAAGGGUGUGUAGGUGGCCAUGUAAGUCAGGUGUGAAAGCCCCGGGCUCAACCCGGGAGGUGCACUUGAUACUGCGUGGCUUGAGUACCGAAGAGGGUAGUGGAAUUCCAGGUGUAGUGGUGAAAUACUUAGAUAUCUGGAGGAACACCGGUGGCGAAGGCGGCUACCUGGUCGAGUACUGACACUGAGACACGAAAGCAUGGGGAUCAAACAGGAUUAGAAACCCGUGUAGUCC